CGGUAACAGGACGAAUAUUGCUUUUAUGCUGACGAGUGGCGAACGACUAAAUCGUAUCUCGGAAACUGCCUGAUGCAGGUGGAUAUUUGAUGGAAACGGUUG
rnacentral:rRNA from 1 species